AUACAAUGAUGGUUGCAUAGUUCAGCAGAUAAAAUUAUGAAGAGAAUUUAUCAUUUGUCUGAUGUGUCU